UGGCUUACGAGGAUGACUUUUGAAUUUCAAAGUUCUUUCAUAUUCUCUCCUUCUUAUACAACCUUUCGUCUUCUCUCCCCCUAAACACCAUUUCUGCUCCUCCUCCCUCCUAAAUAUCCUUUCUGCUCCUCCUCCAUUUUUCGGUUCCAAGAAAAAAAAAACGAUUUAGUUGUUUUGGUUGAUGUAUGUUGCUUUCACUUUGGUUGAUUGUAUCGGAUGACGACAGGGACGAGCUCGGGCUCCGGUGAUGGCGCUGGCUCCAAGUUUUCGUGUAAAAGGGACAAAUGGAGUUCAUUACUAGAAACCUUGAGACAAUUAACUACUUUGACUUUGGACAUUGAGGAGAGCCGCUAAGAAUUUCCCCCUCUAAAUGUUCUUGGAAGUGGUGAUUUGAGCCUGUCUACCAGAUUUAGGUACCAAAUCUUACGUCAUAUGCUUUGAUUGUUGUGGGUCUGUUUAUAAUCAUAUAAUAUAGCCAAAUAUGCUUGCUUAGAUAUAUUUGAACUCCUUCAAGUUGUAUUUCUGGAUACACCUUUUUUAUUCCUUUAUUUCGAGUGCACGAAGAUAAUGCGGUGGUGGAUGAUAACAGCCAUGGUUUGGACGAACCUCAAAUUCAACAUUUGCUGCAAUUUGCAGAGGAUAUCAGAAAAGACUACCCUAAUGAAGAUUGACUACAUUUUAUUGCUCUCACUCAUGAUAAAAAUAUCUUUUGUUUAUUAGCAUAUACCCUUUAAAUUUGGUUAUAUAUUUGUUUUCUUAGAAGAGAAACUAACUGGACUAAUUGGAGCCAUUAACAAACCAGGUUGCACCGUAGAACAUCACUAUGGUAGUUUCUUUCUAAUAUGAAUAAAAGGUGAUUUUAGUUUUUCAAUUUGAAAUCAUCAUGCGUGUAUUUGCUUUCGUCAUAUGUUGUUAAUGUUUAUUCACAAAAUGAAGUGGAGCUUUAGAAACAUAGUUUGUGUACAGGUGCUGAUUUGCUCCCAUGAAUGUUGACAAUGUUUAUGUUGUAAUUUCAAAAGGGAUCAAUUGUUUAUCUUUUCUCUUUAUUGGUAUUUUCAAGAGUCUAAUUUGUGAUUUUGCUUAAAUAUGUUUUCUUUAUAUUUAACUUUAAAAGUUGUAUUGUAUCUUCUAUUCUUAUUAUCUGAUGAAGGGGAGAAAGAUUUCAUGAAGGAAGAAAGCACUUGAUUGUUGGGAGCAUUCCAGAAUCAUGUUGUGAUUCAUGACCCUAGAUAGCUAUAGAACACUUAUAAAAGAAACAUGUGUUUGAGAGGUUGAAUGGAGCAAUGAGAGAGAAUAACUCACUCUUCCAAAGCCACAGCACUCAGCAACAAUGGUAGCAGGAAUGGCAGGGAUGAGAAUGGAAAGCUUGGUGCCAAGAAUAACUUCUUGCAAGUUGAGAAGCACGUUUCGGAGAGUGGCACAGGGAACCUUGGAAACAAGAGUUCGAUCAGACUUCUUGCGAAGUGAGUUUGAGGACUUGCUGUGUGCAGUGCGGCCAUGUCUCAUUUCCCUGGUCAAAACCUUCGGAUUCCCGUUCUCCAGUAGCCAUGGUUCAUGUUGGUGAGAACCCAUUUUUGUUACCUGCGUGAGGUUUUAGCUAGAACAAACACAAGGACACAGGGAGUGCAAAAUGUGAUGCAACAAGCCUUUCCUUUUUACUGCACAAACCCCAAAACUGGAACUACAACUACGGUGUUGUUGGAGAAGCUUUGAAGGUGGAUCUUCUAAGCCAUCCUGAAUACAUAGAGCAGAAUGCAACCCUUGCUUUCCAGGCUGCAAUAUGGAGAUGGAUGACACCAAUAAAGAAGUAUCAACCCUAUGCUCAUGAUGCCUUCGUUGGCAACUGGAAGCCUACCAAGAAUGACACUAUGGAGAAUUGCGUUCCUGGUUUUGGCACUACAAUGAACAUUCUCUAUGGGGAUGGUGUUUGUGGUCAAGGUGAUGUGGACACCAUGAACAAUAUCGUUUCCCAUUACAUGUACUAUCUUGAUCUUCUUGGAGUUGGUAGAGAAGAGGCUGGACCCCAUGAAUUACUUACAUACGUUGAGCAAGUUCCUUUCAAUCCAUCUUCCAAAGCUGUCUCAUCAACUUAGAUUACAUUUAUUAGCAUACGAUGAUAUUGUUGUGUCAAUCCCUUUUAAAGUGUAAGUUAAUAAGGGUUCUUUAAAUUAUUGGUAUGCUACAAUUUUGAACUAUGGCACUGUGCGGAUUUUGUCGUGGAAAAAUUGUAUCUGGUAUAUAUGUACGUUGUGGGGGCAUUUUGUCGAUAUCAUUAUUACAUAUACAUUCCUUGGUUGCAAUGUAAAUUUGAAUAUCUUCAUUUCUUUGAAGUCA